rnacentral:rRNA from 1 species
GACGAACGCUGGCGGCGUGCCUAAUACAUGCAAGUCGAGCGGACUUAAAAAGCUUGCUUUUUAAGUUAGCGGCGGACGGGUGAGUAACACGUGGGCAACCUGCCUGUAAGACUGGGAUAACUUCGGGAAACCGGAGCUAAUACCGGAUAAUCCUUUUCUACUCAUGUAGAAAAGCUGAAAGACGGUUUACGCUGUCACUUACAGAUGGGCCCGCGGCGCAUUAGCUAGUUGGUGAGGUAACGGCUCACCAAGGCGACGAUGCGUAGCCGACCUGAGAGGGUGAUCGGCCACACUGGGACUGAGGCACGGCCCAGACUCCUACGGGAGGCAGCAGUAGGGAAUCUUCCGCAAUGGACGAAAGUCUGACGGAGCAACGCCGCGUGAGUGAUGAAGGUUUUCGGAUCGUAAAACUCUGUUGUUAGGGAAGAACAAGUACGAGAGUAACUGCUCGUACCUUGACGGUACCUAACCAGAAAGCCACGGCUAACUACGUG